UACGUAGGGGGCAAGCGUUGUCCGGAAUCAUUGGGCGUAAAGAGCGCGUAGGCGGUCCGGUAAGUCCGCUCUGAAAGUCCGGGGCUCAACCCCGGGAGGCGGGCGGAUACUGCCGGGCUAGAGUCCGGAAGAGGCGAGUGGAAUUCCUGGUGUAGCGGUGAAAUGCGCAGAUAUCAGGAGGAACACCGGUGGCGAAGGCGGAUCUCUGGGCCGAUACUGACGCUGAGGAGCGAAAGCGUGGGGAGCGAACAGG
rnacentral:rRNA from 1 species